CCUACGGGAGGCAGCAGUGGGGAAUAUUGCACAAUGGGGGAAACCCUGAUGCAGCGACGCCGCGUGAGCGAUGAAGUAUCUCGGUAUGUAAAGCUCUAUCAGCAGGGAAGAAAAUGACGGUACCUGACUAAGCAGCCCCGGCUCACUACGUGCCAGCAGCCGCGGUAAUACGUAGGGGGCAAGCGUUAUCCGGAUUUACUGGGCGUAAAGGGAGCGUAGACGGCGGUGCAGGCCAGAUGUGAAAGCCCGGGGCUCAACCCCGGGACUGCAUUUGGAACUGUGCUGCUAGAGUGUCGGAGAGGCAGGCGGAAUUCGUAGUGUAGCGGUGAAAUGCGUAGAUAUUAGGAGGAACACCAGUGGCGAAGGCAGCCUGCUGGACGAUGACUGACGUUGAGGCUCGAAAGCGUGGGGAGCGAACAGGAUUAGAUACCCCUGUAGUC
rnacentral:rRNA from 1 species